rnacentral:misc_RNA from 1 species
AACGCACCUUGCGCCCUUUGGCUAUUCCGAAGGGCAUGCCUGUUUGAGUAUCAUGAACACCUCAACUCUCAUGGUUUGCCAUGACGAGCUUGGACUUUGGGGGUCUUGCUGGCCUAUGGUCGGCUCCUCUCAAACAAAUCAGCUUGCCAGUGUUUGGUGGCAUCACAGGUGUGAUAACUAUCUACGCUUGUGGUUUUCCACCAGGUAACCUUCAGUGAUGGAGGUUCGCUGGGGCUCAUAAACGUCUCUCCUCUGCGAGGACAACUUUUUGAACGUUUGAUCUCAAAUCAGGUAGGACUACCCGCUGAACUUAA